rnacentral:tRNA from 1 species
GCUGCGCCUCGUACAGGUUGCGCGGGCGUACGGCGUCCGUGGUGCCGUAGAGCUCCAGGCGGGAGUGCAGGUCUCCGGUGAAGUC